rnacentral:rRNA from 1 species
ACGGCUCAGUAACACGUGGCUAACCUACCCUUGGGACGGACGCAACCCCGGGAAACUGGGGCUAAUCCUCGAUAGGCGAAGAGGCCUGGAAUGGUUCUUCACCCAAAAGGCGUUGGAAUCAUGCUUUCAACGUCGCCCAAGGAUGGGGCCGCGACCGAUCAGGCUGUUGGUGAGGCAACGGCUCACCAAACCUAUUACCGGUACGGGCCGCGGGAGCGGUAGCCUGGAGAUGGGAACUGAGACAAGGUCCCAGGCCCUACGGGGCGCAGCAGUCGCGCAACCUCUGCAAUAGGCGAAAGCCUGACAGGGCUACCCCGAGUGCCGUCCGCUGAGGAUGGCUUUUCUCUGGUGUAGUGAGCCGGAGGAAUAAGGAGAGGGCAAGUCUGGUGUCAGCCGCCGCGGUAAUACCAGCUCUCCGAGUGGUAGGGACGAUUAUUGGGCCUAAAGCGUCCGUAGCCGGCUAAGCAAGUUUCCCGUUAAAUCCAGCGAUCCAAUCGUUGGACUGCGGGAAAUACUGUUUGGCUAGGGGGCGAGAGAGGCCAACGGUAUUCCCGGGGUAGGGGUGAAAUCCUAUAAUCCCGGGAGGACCACCAGUGGCGAANGCUGUUGGCUAGAACGCGCCCGACGGUGAGGGACGAAAGCUGGGGGAGCGAACCGGAUNAGAUACCC